UGUAGGAGUGAGCCUGCUCGCGAUGGCGUCAGGUCAGGCGAUAUGUUCGUGACUGACCCACCGCAAUCGCGAGCAGGCUCACUCCUACA
rnacentral:antisense_RNA from 1 species